rnacentral:rRNA from 1 species
GGGAUGAACGCUGGCGGCGUGCUUAACACAUGCAAGUCGAACGAUGAAAGCCGGAGCUUGCUCUGGCUGGAUUAGUGGCGAACGGGUGAGUAACACGUGAGUAACCUGCCCCAGACUCUGGGAUAAGCACUGGAAACGGUGUCUAAUACCGGAUAUGAGCUUCAGCCGCAUGGCUAGGAGCUGGAAAGAAUUUCGGUCUGGGAUGGACUCGCGGCCUAUCGAGGUAGUUGGUGAGGUAAAGGCUCACCAAGCCGACGACGGUA